CUGCCCAAUGAAUUAAUUUAAAUGGCCGCAGUAUUUUGACUGUGCAAAGGUAGCAUAAUAAAUAGUUUUUUAAUUGAAGACUAGAAUGAAGGAGGGGAUGAAAUUUAAACUGUCUCAAAAUUAAUAAUAGAAUUUUAAUUUAAGUGAAAAUUCUUAAAUGAAUUUAAGGGACGAGAAGACCCUAUAGAAUUUUAAAAUUAAAAUAAAUUAAGUUUGUUAUAAUAAAUAUAAAAAAAAAUUUAUAAAAAUUUUUUUAUUGGGAGGAUAUUAAAAUUUAAAAAACUUUUAAUUUUAAAAAAACAUAAAUGUAUGAAUUAAAGAGUAAUUUUAAUAAAUUAAGAUAAAAUUACCUUAGGGAUAACAGCGUAAUAAAUUUUUAAAGUUCAUAUUAAAAAAUUUGAUUGCGACCUCGAUGUUGAAUUAAAAUAAAAUUUAAGUGUAGGAGCUUAA
rnacentral:rRNA from 1 species